GGCCCAGAAUGUGAUCUGUCCAAGUGAGCUGGAGAAGAACGUGUACUCUGCAUGGUUAGAUGAAGUACUCUAUAGAUGUCCAUUUUAUCCAGAGCCUGACAACCUCAGGAGAUGGGGCUAGAAUUCUCCCCUAUUUUACGAAUGAGGAAACUACGAUUAAAAGAAAGGAAGAUAUUUGCUCAAAGUCACACACCAGCCCGGGAAAGAGGAGUGCAAGACCGAGCAUGUUCUGAGGGGAACACCAGGCAGCAAGUGCUGGGCUACAUGUUGUACAGAUAUUCUCAUCAUCUCACUG